rnacentral:rRNA from 1 species
GAUGAACGCUGGCGGCGUGCCUAACACAUGCAAGUCGAGCGGACGAAUGGAGCGCGUUCCUGGAUGAAGUGGGGGACGGGCGGGUGAGGACUACGAGUCUGCCCUGUAUUGGGGGCUAACGUACGGUAACGGGACCGGAUACCACAUACGUUCUGAUAGUGAAACUCGGGGUUCUUUGGAGAUCAAGGGUUUUGAUGUGCCUAGGUCGCAUUAGCUAGUUGGUGGGGUAAUGGCUUACCAAGGCGACGAUCCGUAACUGGGCUGAGAGGCUGAUCGGUCACACUGGAACUGAGACACGGUCCAGACUCCUACGGGAGGCAGCAGUGGGGAAUCUUGGACAAUGGGCGAAAGCCUGAUGGAGCCAUGCCGCGUGUGUGAUGAAGGUCUUCGGAUCGUAAAGCUCUGUAAGUUGGGAGGAAGGGCAGUAAGUUAAAACCUGGAUGUUUUGACGGUACCAACUGAAUAAGCCCCGGCUAACUACGUG